AAUGUUAACCUGGAUCAAAAUGUGUCUUGCUUCACGUGUUUGGGUGGUUAAAUAUUGGAAUGUCAUGACAUAUUUGUAGUUGCUGUGCAAGUUGCCAAGAGAAAAUGUUGAUACCUCUCAGCUCGUAUUGCAUUGACUUACAAUAUAGUAUAGUAUAUUACAAUAUAGUGUUGAGAUUAAUUUUUUAUUUUUUAUAUUUAAAAUAUUUUUUAGAGGCUCCACAUUAUCAUCUUGGUAAAUGACACAUAAAACUACUGAGUGUAUUUUAAAAGAGUAGACAUUUUCCAGCCUUCUGGACAUGCCUCAAAACCUCCCUCCCGUUUCCCAUUGUUACUAUGCCCUGGCCAAACCUGCCUGACCUCUUCAUUCACCAUCUACAGAGAUUGAAAUCAGACUCAGGGGUCUAACUUUGGAGGGGUUUUGGUAGUCACGGGCAUAAAUGCAUUGCUUUUCUGCCAGUAUUUAAAACGGAUAAAGUGCUUUAAACCUU